rnacentral:rRNA from 1 species
CGCUAUCUGCAGUCGAGGGGCAGCGCAGUGUAGCAAUACAUGGGCGGCGACCGGCAAACGGGUGCGGAACACGUACGCAACCUUCCUUCAAGCGGGGAAUAGCUUUCGGAAACGAAAAUUAAUACCCCAUAGCAAUGUCUGAGGGCAUCUGAGGACAUUUAAAGAUUUAUCACUUGAAGAUGGGCGUGCGCCUGAUUAGGUAGUUGGCGGGGUAACGGCCCACCAAGCCUACGAUCAGUAACUGGUGUGAGAGCACGACCAGUCACACGGGCACUGAGACACGGGCCCGACUCCUACGGGAGGCAGCAGUAAGGAAUAUUGGUCAAUGGACGCAAGUCUGAACCAGCCAUGCCGCGUGGAGGAUGAAGGUCCUCUGGAUUGUAAACUUCUUUUAUCGGAGAAGAAACCCCCGAGUUCUCUUGGGGUUGACGGUACCCGAUGAAUAAGCACCGGCUAACUCCGUGCCAGCAGCCGCGGUAAUACGGAGGGUGCAAGCGUUAUCCGGAUUCACUGGGUUUAAAGGGAGCGUAGGUGGGCUGGUAAGUCAGUGGUGAAAUCUCCGGGCUUAACUCGGAAACUGCCGUUGAUACUAUCAGUCUUGAAUGUUGUGGAGGUAAGCGGAAUAUGUCAUGUAGCGGUGAAAUGCUUAGAUAUGACAUAGAACACCGAUAGCGAAGGCAGCUUGCUACACAAUUAUUGACACUGAGGCUCGAAAGCGUGGGGAUCAAACAGGAUUAGAUACCCUGGUAGUCCACGCCCUAAACGAUGGAUACUCGACAUACGCGAUACACAGUGUGUGUCUGAGCGAAAGCAUUAAGUAUCCCACCUGGGAAGUACGACCGCAAGGUUGA